rnacentral:rRNA from 1 species
UGCAAGUCGAGCGGAAAGGCCCUUCGGGGUACUCGAGCGGCGGACGGCUGAGUAACGCGUGGGAACAUGCCCCAAAGUGAGGAAUAACUGCCCGAAAGGGUAGCUAAUGCCGCAUAUGAUCUUCGGAUUAAAGGAUUUAUCCGCUUUGGGAGUGGCCCGCGUACGAUUAGGUAGUUGGUGAGGUAAAGGCUCACCAAGCCCACGAUCGUUAACUGGUCUGAGAGGAUGAUCAGUCAGACUGGAACUGAGACACGGUCCAGACUCCUACGGGAGGCAGCAGUGAGGAAUCUUCCACAAUGGGCGAAAGCCUGAUGGAGCGACGCCGCGUGCAGGAUGAAGGCCUUCGGGUUGUAAACUGCUUUUAUAAGUGAAGAAUAUGACGGUAACUUAUGAAUAAGCACCGGCUAACUACGUGCCAGCAGCCGCGGUCAUACGUAGGGUGCAAGCAUUAUCCGGAGUGACUGGGCGUAAAGAGUUGCGUAGGUGGUCAGUAAAGUGAAUAGUGAAAUGUGGCGGCUCAACCGUACACACUAUUAUUCAAACUCACUGACUCGAGAAUGGUAGAGGUAACUGGAAUUUCUAGUGUAGGAGUGAAAUCCGUAGAUAUUAGAAGGAACACCAAUGGCGUAGGCAGGUUACUGGACCAUUUCUGACACUAAGGCACGAAAGCGUGGGGAGCGAACCGGAUUAGAUACCCGGGUAGUCCACGCCGU